GGGGGGGGGGGGGGGGGGGGGGGGGGGGGGGGGGGGGGGGGGGGGGGGGGGGGGGGGGGGGGGGGGGGGGGGGGGGGGGGGGGGGGGGGGGGGGGGGGGGGGGGGGGGGGGGGGUAAAAAACAAGUGCAGAUUUAGAUUCUAAGGACUAAGUUAUAAAAAGCCCCUAAGAAUGACCUCCAGUAUUUUGGAAGAAAGCCCAAAAGAUGAGUUUCACCAAGGGAGAAGGGGAAGAAUAUGUCGAGAGAAUACAGCUUUUACUCUGAAAUGGCUUCAAGAAUGCUUUUAAGGAAAACUGGAUGAUGAUACUGUUAAUGGAUCAACUGCGAAAUACUCAUGUUAACCUUUACAUUGUCCCCUACUAGCUUCAGCAUCAUCAUUAACUGAAGUGUGACCCACGUCCCUCAGGAUAAAUUGUUCCAUUUAAGAGGCCACAUGAAGAGCAUUACCUGCACAAGCAGGGAAGAGCGCUGUGCAGUUUGGCAGGUGCCUCUUAAGGAGAAGAGCUGGAGCAGGUGACACAAAUAAGGGGAAGAUAACGAGGGCCACAACUGCAUUAGACUGCACUGCCCAGUUAAUUGCUCUUACUCCCAUUUACCCCUUGGAAUACCCAUGUGGAUAAGGGAUAUACAGAGGUGCUGAAAAGGUGAGAGAGAGCUGUAGACAGCUGAGCUGUCUGUCUGUUUGCCAUAGGAAAAAAGAGACUGUGGAUGUGCAUUUAAAUUAAUCUAUUGGCUGGUCUUCUCUACUUUAUUUUUUUUUUUGCUACUGUUAAUUUUCCUUGUGAAAUGUCUUUUCAUGGCCUGACUUUUUAAAGGAAGAAUCUCAAAAUUUGAUGCCAUUUAGAGCUGUCCUGACUAUUGUGGAUUCAGAGUGGCUUUGUAUAUUUCAGCCUCAGCAGUUUAUCGUGUAUAUUGAAAAUAAUAAACAUAAGACCAAGAAAGUUUAAAUUUUUAAUUAAAUGAAUGCACAGAAACAGAUUCAAUCAUCAACUAGUUUUUUGAAAACUGUUAAGUAUAUACAAUACCACAAACUGUGCAAUGAUAUAAUUUAGGAACACUUUCAAAAAAGGUGCCACCCUUUCCAGAGCUUCUGUGAACUUCUGGACACUGGUUUUAUCUUGACUUUCAUAGUUACUUUAAAUUAUAGACUUAAACUAAAAGAGCAACCUAUUAAUAAAAUACCAUUCUAUUUCAGCACAAAAAUUGGGCCAUAGUAAUAGUAGGGCUCUGAUUU
rnacentral:lncRNA from 1 species